rnacentral:rRNA from 1 species
CGCAGCCGCGGUAAUUCCAGCUCCAAUAGCGUAUAUUAAAGUUGUUGCAGUUAAAAAGCUCGUAGUUGAAUUUCGGGAUCAAUAUGUCGGUCGUGCCUUGGUACGUACUGGUAUCAUUGGUCUCUCCUUUCUGACGAACCAUGAUGUCAUUAAUUUGGUGUCGUGGGAAAUCAGGACUGUUACUUUGAAAAAAUUGAGUGUUUAAAGCAGGCUCACGCUUGAAUACAUUAGCAUGGAAUAAUGAAAUAGGACGUUUGAUUCUAUUUUGUUGGUUUCUAGGAUCGACGUAAUGAUUAAUAGGGAUAGUUGGGGGCAUUAGUAUUCAAUUGUCAGAGGUGAAAUUCUGGAUUUAUGAAGACU